GACGAACGCUGGCGGCGUGCCUAAUACAUGCAAGUAGAACGCACAGUUUAUACCGUAGCUUGCUACACCAUAGACUGUGAGUUGCGAACGGGUGAGUAACGCGUAGGUAACCUGCCUGGUAGCGGGGGAUAACUAUUGGAAACGAUAGCUAAUACCGCAUAAUAUUAAUUAUUGCAUGAUAAUUAAUUGAAAGGUGCAAUUGCACCACUACCAGAUGGACCUGCGUUGUAUUAGCUAGUAGGUGAGGUAACGGCUCACCUAGGCGACGAUACAUAGCCGACCUGAGAGGGUGAUCGGCAACACUGGGACUGAGACACGGCCCAGACUCCUACGGGAGGCAGCAGUAGGGAAUCUUCGGCAAUGGACGAAAGUCUGACCGAGCAACGCCGCGUGAGUGAAGAAGGUUGUCGGAUCGUAAAGCUCUGUUGUAAGAGAAGAACGGGUGUGAGAGUGGAAAGUUCACACUGUGACGGUAGCUUACCAGAAAGGGACGGCUAACUACGUG
rnacentral:rRNA from 1 species